GAUGAACGCUGGCGGCGUGCCUAAUACAUGCAAGUCGAGCGAUCAGACGAGGAGCUUGCUCCUCUGACGUUAGCGGCGGACGGGUGAGUAACACGUGGAUAACCUACCUAUAAGACUGGGAUAACUUCGGGAAACCGGAGCUAAUACCGGAUAAUAUAUUGAACCGCAUGGUUCAAUAGUGAAAGACGGUUUUGCUGUCACUUAUAGAUGGAUCCGCGCCGCAUUAGCUAGUUGGUAAGGUAACGGCUUACCAAGGCAACGAUGCAUAGCCGACCUGAGAGGGUGAUCGGCCACACUGGAACUGAGAGACGGUGCAGAAUCGUACGGGAGGCAGCAGUAGGGAAUCUUCCGGAAUGAGCGAAAGCGUGACGGAGCAACGGCGCGGAGUGAUGAUGGUGUUCGGAUCGUAAAGCUCUGUUAGUAGGGAAGAACAAAUGUGUAAGUAACUAUGCACGUCUUGACGGUACCUAAUCAGAAAGCCACGGCUAACUACGUG
rnacentral:rRNA from 1 species